rnacentral:rRNA from 1 species
CGUAGCGAAAGCUACGCUAAUACCGCAUACGAUCUACGGAUGAAAGCGGGGGAUCGCAAGACCUCGCGCGAUUGGAGCGGCCGAUAUCAGAUUAGGUAGUUGGUGGGGUAAAGGCUCACCAAGCCAACGAUCUGUAGCUGGUCUGAGAGGACGACCAGCCACACUGGAACUGAGACACGGUCCAGACUCCUACGGGAGGCAGCAGUGGGGAAUUUUGGACAAUGGACGCAAGUCUGAUCCAGCCAUUCCGCGUGCAGGAUGAAGGCCCUCGGGUUGUAAACUGCUUUUGUACGGAACGAAAAGGUCUCUCUUAAUACGAGGAGCUCAUGACGGUACCGUAAGAAUAAGCACCGGCUAACUACGUGCCAGCAGCCGCGGUAAUACGUAGGGUGCAAGCGUUAAUCGGAAUUACUGGGCGUAAAGCGUGCGCAGGCGGUUAUAUAAGUCAGAUGUGAAAUCCCCGGGCUCAACCUGGGAACUGCAUUUGUGACUGUAUAGCUAGAGUACGGCAGAGGGGGAUGGAAUUCCGCGUGUAGCAGUGAAAUGCGUAGAUAUGCGGAGGAACACCGAUGGCGAAGGCAAUCCCCUGGGCCUGCACUGACGCUCAUGCACGAAAGCGUGGGGAGCAAACAGGAUUAGAUACCCUGGUAGUCCACGCCCUAAACGAUGUCAACUGGUUGUUGGGUC